GAUGAACGCUGGCGGCGUGCCUAAUACAUGCAAGUCGAGCGAACAGACGAGGAGCUUGCUCCUCUGACGUUAGCGGCGGACGGGUGAGUAACACGUGGAUAACCUCCCUAUAAGACUGGGAUAACUUCGGGAAACCGGAGCUAAUACCGGAUAAUAUAUUGAACCGCAUGGUUCAAUAGUGAAAGACGGUUUUGCUGUCACUUAUAGAUGGAUCCGCGCCGCAUUAGCUAGUUGGUAAGGUAACGGCUUACCAAGGCAACGAUGCGUAGCCGACCUGAGAGGGUGAUCGGCCACACUGGAACUGAGACACGGUCCAGACGCCUACGGGAGGCAGCAGUAGGGAAUCUUCCGCAAUGGGCGAAAGCCUGACGGAGCAACGCCGCGUGAGUGAUGAAGGUCUUCGGAUCGUAAAACUCUGUUAUUAGGGAAGAACAAAUGUGUAAGUAACUAUGCACGGCUUGACGGUACCUAAUCAGAAAGCCACGGCUAACUACGUG
rnacentral:rRNA from 1 species